GAUGAACGCUAGCGGCAGGCCUAAUACAUGCAAGUCGAGGGGCAGCGGGGUAGCAAUACUGCCGGCGACCGGCGCACGGGUGCGUAACGCGUAUGCAAUCUACCUUUUACUGAGGGAUAGCCCGGAGAAAUUCGGAUUAAUACCUCAUAGUUUAUUUGGGUGGCAUCACUUGGAUAAUAAAGAUUUAUCGGUAAGAGAUGAGCAUGCGUACGAUUAGUUAGUUGGUGAGGUAACGGCUCACCAAGACGAUGAUCGUUAGGGGGUCUGAGAGGAUGAUCCCCCACACUGGUACUGAGAUACGGACCAGACUCCUACGGGAGGCAGCAGUAGGGAAUAUUGGUCAAUGGGCGAGAGCCUGAACCAGCCAUGCCGCGUGCAGGAAGAA
rnacentral:rRNA from 1 species